GAUGAACGCUAGCUACAGGCUUAACACAUGCAAGUCGAGGGGUAACGAGAGGAAAGCUUGCUUUCCUUGUCGACGACCGGCGCACGGGUGAGUAACGCGUAUCCAACCUGCCCCCAACUAGGGAAUAACCUUGCGAAAGUAAGACUAAUACCCUAUAAUUUCCUCAGAUGUCAUCUGACGAGGAAUAAAGAUUUAUCGGUUGUGGAUGGGGAUGCGUCUGAUUAGCUUGUUGGCGGGGUAACGGCCCACCAAGGAAACGAUCAGUAGGGGGUCUGAGAGGAAGGUCCCCCACAUUGGAACUGAGACACGGUCCAAACUCCUACGGGAGGCAGCAGUGAGGAAUAUUGGUCAAUGGGCGGAAGCCUGAACCAGCCAAGUAGCGUGCAGGAUGACGGCCCUAUGGGUUGUAAACUGCUUUUAUACAGGAAUAAAGUUAGCCACGUGUGGUUAUUUGUAGGUACUGUAUGAAUAAGGACCGGCUAAUUCCGUGCCAGCCGCCGCAGUAA
rnacentral:rRNA from 1 species